AUUGAACGCUGGCGGCAGGCCUAACACAUGCAAGUCGAGCGAGCGGCGGACGGGUGAGUAAUGUCUGGGAAACUGCCUGAUGGAGGGGGAUAACUACUGGAAACGGUAGCUAAUAACGCAUACCAUCAGAUGUGCCCAGAUGGGAUUAGCUAGUGGGUGGGGUAAUGGCUCACCUAGGCGACGAUCCCUAGCUGGUCUGAGAGGAUGACCAGCCACACUGGAACUGAUGCACGGGCCAGACUCCUCAGGGAGGCAGCAGUGGUGAAUGUUGCACAAUGGGCGCAAUCCUGAUGCAGCCAUGCCGCGUGUAUGAAGAAGGCCUUCGGGUUGUAAAGUACUUUCAGCGGGGAGGCGUUACCCGCAGAAGAAGCACCGGCUAACUCCGUGCCAGCAGCCGCGGUAAUAC
rnacentral:rRNA from 1 species